rnacentral:rRNA from 1 species
CAGCAGCCGCGGUAAUACAGAGGUCCCGAGCGUUGUUCGGAUUCACUGGGCGUAAAGAGUGUGUAGGAGGUUGGAUAAGUCAGGUGUGAAAUCCCGCAGCUCAACUGCGGAACUGCAUUCGAUACUGUCCAACUAGAGGAUCGGAGGGGGAAGCGGAAUUCUUGGUGUAGCGGUGAAAUGCGUAGAUAUCAAGAGGAACACCAAUGGCGAAGGCAGCUUCUUGGUCCAUUCCUGACGUUCAUACACGAAAGCGUGGGGAGCAAACAGGAUUAGAUACCCGCGUAGUCCCUGUCUCUUAUAC